AUCGUGGCUCCGGAACCUUUCUGCCGCUGUCGGUUCGCUUCGGGCGCGCUCCACCCUGGCCCCACCCCACCCAACUCCACCUCUCUUCAGGGCCUCUUGGGGCGUUCUGGAGGUAGCGACCGCCUGGCGCGCGGUCAGGGAUUCUAGAGGACAUCAGAAAUGCGGACUUCUUACAUAACGGGGUGAUGCGGAGGUACCUUAGUAGCUGCGCUGAGCGGCCUGGACUGGCUGUACUGGGUCUUAUUAAAUUGUGAUCUGCCUGACUCAGCCUCUCAAGUAGUUGGUACUACAGAGGAUAUUGAAGCCGGAUCUUGAAAAAAGACUUUAAGCUUGUGUGUGCCAGGAAAAGCACAGCAAAGGAAGGAGCUGAGAAAGGGGGAUAUUCAGGAAGAAACAGCAUAAGCAAGAUAUUUCAUUCCAAAUAAAGAAUAUUGCACUGCUACAACAUCAAAGAAGGGACUAAACAAAGAUUUAGCAAAGAUACUUGGCAGUCCAUUGUGCCAGUGGAUGGAAACAUAAAUCUCUAUUCUGGCAGCUCUAGUUGUAUACUUUCUAACCCAGG